rnacentral:rRNA from 1 species
AUAUGUGUCACACGGGACUGCCGGUCUUAAGCCGGAGGAAGUGGGGAUGAUGUCAAGUCAGCAUGGCCUUUAUAUCCUGGGCUACACACACGCUACAAUGGCCAACACAAUAGGUUGCUAAGCCGCGAGGUGGCGCCAAUCCAUAAAGUUGGUCUCAGUUCAGAUUGUAGGCUGCAACCCGCCUGCAUGAAGAUGGAGUUGCUAGUAACCGCAGGUCAGCUAUACUGCGGUGAAUACGUUCCCGGGGCUU